AUGGAACAGGGGCAGAAAAUAGCACACUUUUACUCUACGCAACCGUUGCUUUCGCAUGAUCUUCUGGAAUUUUACUGGGAUUAUUGUUCAGUUGAAAUUCCAAGCAUUCUAUUCAAAUGGUUACUAUUUAUCAUUAAAAUGGCAUUGUGAAGGGAUGAUGAAGAAAUAACAGACCUUGUUACUGCUUCUGAGAUAAAGAAAACUCUUGAUUUCAAGACUGAACAGAGAGGAGAAUGAAAUACAUAAUAUGGGUAUCUUGAAGAUUAAUCAUAGAACAUUUCACACAUCCAUAAAGGGAAAAACUUAAAAUGGAUAUGAGAAGUGAAGACAGUGAUCAUAGGAGAAAUCAUCUCAGGUAUCUGAUGAUUUGUGAGCACCAAGUGACCAUUCUGUGGAAUCAUCUUUCCUUGCCUUUGAAUUAGCUUUCCCUAGACCAUGAGUCAACAUCAGUAUUUUAUGCAUCCAAAUUGUUCCUUAACCAGAAUUCCCGAGAGCAUAUGAUGUGUCAGUCGUCGUGUGAGGACAGGAAAACACGGUGGUGAACGAUCAUAAAAAUGCUGUUAGAACUAAUCCUGAUGAUGAGUGAUUUUACUUGAGAUAUCUGCAGAUCAACAAGUAUUCACUGGAAUGGCUCCUGGACAUUCCAAGUUUAGAAUCAAAGGAGAAAGGAAUGUGAGGAAGAAAAUCACAAUGAGGCCUCUCUGAAAACAUUUCUGGAACAAAACAAAAUAAUCAAAAGUAUUCAAGAAAGAAAAUGACUUGGAAUACAAAGGAAAAUGCGAGAGAUGGUCAACAUUGAAAACACUGCGUUGAACCCAGAAAUGGAAGCCACAUACUGAUGAUAGCAAGGCUGCCCCAACAACCCAGGACCACGUAUUCAGAAACCAUGUGGAAGAAAAUUGUGUUUCUAUUUUAUAGAACCUAUGUGUUUCCUGAAAGUAAUGGAAGUGGGAACAGGUCUGACAGAAGUGAUGGCAAACCUGCCCACUACCCUGGCCUGAAGUGAUCUGGAUGAAAGAAAUAAAGGAGGGGGAGCUAAAUAAAAUUUCUCAGAAGAGAAAUUGUAGCACAAAGCAGCCCAGAGAGUUAUCUAUCGGCAGAGGAGAAAUCACUUGGGUUUUGAAAUUUUUAAGACUACUACAGAAUAUCUAACCCUACAGAAACUUCCUGCAAAUUACUUGUCCAGGAAAACUCCAACUCAUUCGGUGAUGAGUAAUACAAAAGGAACUAGAAAAGCAUCUAUACAAAGAUAAUAUACAAGUGAAAGAUAAAGCAUACUACAGAGUAAACACAUUGCUAUAGUGCCUAUGAAAAUCGUGAACAAAUAUUUCAGCAUGAAUUGAAAAAGAAAAAAAAAACCUCAUGAAAAAAGAGACUCUAUGACAUUAAACUGGAAACACAAGUAAAGAAUACAGAUAAAAGAUAAGAAAAAUUGUGAGCUGAAACAUAAACUGUCAUAUCUCAAAAAAGAAGUAUAAAAAAUAUUUACAGAAAUUAAUAUGAAGGCCACAAAGAAGAAUGGUCACUAAAACAAAAAACAUAGUAAGUAAAAGAAUAGGAGAGGAAAAAUGAAAGAUAGACUUAAAAAUAACUUAAAAUAUUAGCUAUUUAAAUUAGGUGGAUAUGUCCCCAAUAUAUGCGUAAUUCGAGUUCCUGAUGAGGACAGCAAAACAAAACAAAAAAUGUAUUUAAAGUUAUACAUUUUUUAAUUCUUAAAAGAUGACUAAAGACAGAUACUGUAUGAUUCCACUUAAGUGAUGUAUCCAAAGGGGUCAAAUUCAUAGAGACAGAAAUGACAAUAGUGAAGAGUGGUUUCCAGGAGUUGGAGGGACAAGGGAAUGAAUGGGUUUCAUGGGUACAGAGUUUCAGUUUGGAAAGAUGAAAACAAUUCUGGAGAUGCAUAAUGGUGAUGGCUGCACAACGAUGUGAAUGUACUUCAUGUUACUGAACAGAAUACUUAAAAAAUGCUUAAAAUUGUAAACUUUAUGUUAAGUAUAUUUUACCACAGUAAAAAAAAAAUCAUGAUAGAGGGCUAUGUUUUUAAUGACCUAGAACAGACCAUUAAAAACAUAGUCCAUUGGGGGUGGCCAGUUAGCUCAGUUGGUUAGAGCGUGGUGCUCUUAACAACAAGGUUGAUGGCUCGAUCCCCACAUGGA